GAUGAACGCUGGCGGCGUGCUUAACACAUGCAAGUCGAACGGAAAGGCCCAAGCUUGCUUGGGUACUCGAGUGGCGAACGGGUGAGUAACACGUGGGUGAUCUGCCCUGCACUUCGGGAUAAGCCUGGGAAACUGGGUCUAAUACUGGAUAGGACCACUUCUUGGAUGGUGUGGUGGAAAGUUUUUUCGGUGUGGGAUGAGCUCGCGGCCUAUCAGCUUGUUGGUGGGGUAAUGGCCUACCAAGGCGUCGACGGGUAGCCGGCCUGAGAGGGUGUACGGCCACAUUGGGACUGAGAUACGGCCCAGACUCCUACGGGAGGCAGCAGUGGGGAAUAUUGCACAAUGGGCGCAAGCCUGAUGCAGCGACGCCGCGUGGGGGAUGACGGCCUUCGGGUUGUAAACUCCUUUCGCUAGGGACGAAGCGUUUUUGUGACGGUACCUGGAGAAGAAGCACCGGCUAACUACGUG
rnacentral:rRNA from 1 species